CGGAGGGUGCAAGCGUUAUCCGGAAUCAUUGGGUUUAAAGGGUCCGCAGGCGUCUUAUAAGUCAGUGGUGAAAGCCUACAGCUUAACUGUAGAACUGCCAUUGAUACUGUAAGACUUGAAUUCGGUCGAAGUGGGCGGAAUGUGACAUGUAGCGGUGAAAUGCUUAGAUAUGUCACAGAACACCGAUAGCGAAGGCAGCUCACUAGGCCUGGAUUGACGCUCAUGGACGAAAGCGUGGGGAGCAAACAGGAUUAGAUACCCUGGUAGUCCACGCCAUAAACUAUGAUUACUCGUUUUCGGCGAUAUACAGUCGGAGACUAAGCGAAAGUGAUAAGUAAUCCACCUGGGGAGUACGAUCGCAAGGUUG
rnacentral:rRNA from 1 species